ensembl:scaRNA
GGCCUCUCUCCCAUGGGGCUGUGAGGGGUCCCUUUUCUCCUCAGCCAGGGCUGGAGGCCAACAUCAGUGCUUGAGGAUCCUUGUCGCGGCUGCCGUGAGCUGACAGCCUUGUUUUCCUGCCUCAGACAUCU